UCCUGAUACAUCUUCGUUUUCUUUCCCUUUAUGUCUGCUGCAAAACAUGGAAGCUUUUAGUCAGUCUCUCAGCUGCUUCAGGGAUUUUUUUUUUUUUUUUUUUUUUUUGCUAAUCGAGCUGACCCAGUCUUGUUUCCAGGCACCUGGGCCUAAGACAAUUCAAUGGACGUGGCCAUUUAUGCUCAGAAUGCAGUGACAAGCCUCAUUUUACUCUUAGUUAUUUGGAACCAGUUUGCUAACUUAAAUGUGCCAUUUUACAUACUUUAGUGAUUUUUUUUUUCCCCUUUUUCUAUUCCUUUUCUAUGCAGUAGUUCAAAAAUUUACUUCAAACAACAAAUAUUACACAGGCCAAAAUAUUAAGUGUUGAGGAGCUUCCAGUCAGACCCAAACUUGCAGCUGCUGAUAGAAAGUGUGAAGCCAAUUUUUGAUACAGCUCUGCAUGCAGUUCGCAUGUGGGACAGGCAUAUAUGUGAAUGAAUUAUCACACAGAAGCCCUUUACAACCAAGCAAGCAGAUGUAUUCCAGAAGGGAACAGAUCCAUAAACAGAGAAAGCAAGUUUAUAGAGAAUAGUCCUUACCAAACAGAUCAGGUUGGGGUUUUUUUUAAUAGAAAAAAACUUUGGAGCUGUUUUUCAGAAGUUUGUGCAGCUGUUAGUUUAGUUGGAUAAAAGGAGGUUUUGGCUUUCAGUGUAAGGUAAAUAUUUUCAGGGAUCAAAGAGGUGGAAAAUGGGGGCAAGGGGGUGUGUAUGUUAAGAGCUCAGCUCUACUCAGCUCUGAGUGGGCUGUUAUCUAAACAGGUAUUGUGUCUAUGUUUGUGUCUACCACACAACUAAUACCCUACCGAUGAAUGAAAAUAUAUAUGAACUUACGUUUUGGAUGACGUGAAUAAAACAUAUCCAGAAAGCAAACCUUAGAAGUUUUUGUUUUCAUGGUCUCCUCUCUCCCUCAUGACUUCAAGAGAAAUGUUCAUCUGAUAGGAUAUGAUCUCUGUCAUCUACAGUGCAUGAUGGAAUCUCUUGAGUAAUGUUUUAAAAAAUAUUAGUGAAAGCAUGAAGACAACUGGAAAAAUUGCAAAGAGAAAGUGCCAAAACAAAUAAAGUGACUUUCUUUAGAGGAAUUCUGAAGCAAGGCUUCAAGUGCAAUUUAGGACAUCACAUAGAGGAAAGAAGAUACAGGACAGAAAAUCUUUCUUCUGGAGCUUGAAAUGAAAUUGUGAAUCAGCAAGCAAUCCAAAUUGGCUGUUGCAAUUGUCCUUGAAGCUCUCACAUUUACAGGGAGAAGGGUACAAAAUAAAAGACGGUGAAUUGAGGAAAAUUCAGACCAGGCUUCAGGAAACUGAUAAACAUACGAAAAAUAUCCAACUGUAGCCCUGAGUUACACAAGACCUAAGACAAGCCAGGUGUGGGGACAUUAGUGACAAUGAGAAAUAAGGGGCAACAGGGCUGUUGUUGCUCCUUUGGAACCCCACUCAAGGGCUGCAAGUGAGUGUGAGAUCAUCUCCUCGGCUGUUCCUCCCCAAGAGAGUAGAAGUCAUGGGGCUGAGUGGUCAAAGGAGAACCUCAAUCUUUUUCUCAACAGAGAUAAUUUUUCUCUGGCCUUUUUGUAUAAUGAAUCAAUUAUUUGAAUUAAUCAGUAACAUUCUGGAGUAUCACUGGACUGGCAAAAAUUUCUUUGAUUGACUUUCCUUUUGUUUUUCUCUUGACUGCUGUCCUUUUUUGUCUCUAGAAGGCUGUGUUGGGUUAAUCCUGCAAAGAGAUAGAGGCUGCAACAAAGUGCUGAGGAGCAUCAGUGAAAAUAAAUGAUGGGAAGUAAACUUUUCAGUGCAUUUUCCCUCUAUUCAGGACUUCUGGGAGGUGAGGUCCACCUCACUCCCAGCCUGGAGUGACUUCCUGUACUCUGCUUCCAUUGGUGUAAAACCAAUUACUCCUGGUUGCUUAUAUCUCUGCACAUUUGGUGCAAGAUAUAUUGGGUCCUGAGUAUUUUAAAUUCAGAACAGAAUAUUUUACAUGUCUGCAGUGAGAGAUUUUCAUUCAUCCAUAUAAUAGCUAUAUGCUUUGUCCAUAUAAAGAUAGUUUAUGAUUUUUACCAUUUGACAGUAUUGCCACUGGGCUAUGCAAUUCUUAAAAUUUAGUCCUUCCACAAUUCCAUAAAGCAGCAAUUAGCUAAAAAGGAAAAUAGUUAUUUGUGUUUAAGCAUAAAGAGGAAGAAAAUAUACCUGCCAAAAUUGAGUAUUUUUACUUCUGAGAAGUCGGAAGUUUAGAAGGGGUGUUCUGGUCUUGAGGUUUAAAAUCUAAAAUAUUGGGAAAGCAUAAAAAUAUUAUUUUGACAAAAUAGUCUGCCUUUCCUAUUUUCUCCCAACUAUGUAUUUUUACCUAUUUUUUAACUGAAAUCUUAAUUAUGAAACUCAUUCUAUCUAACAAUAGUUUUAGCAAGUAGGUCAGUCCUUUUUCACAUUUUAUUGCUUUCUACCAUAUUCUAGGCAAUUGUGUAGAUAUUUUAGUAUGUCCAACUGGAGAUAAAUUAUCCUAGAGGACAUUCAUGGUUGUUUUGGGGUAUGCACUGGAGCCAAAGCAGCAUUGCUAUGGAAAAUCAUCGUGAUGCCUCAAACUAGUAAGUCUCCAUAGCAACUUAAAAAAAUAAUGACAGCUGUACCAAGAAAUUUGCUAAUAGAAGCCCUUAACACAUUUGUCUAGACUCAGUCAUACUUCAUACUCAUUAUAACCAGUAGACGGAUUGUAAGACAAUAAAACAGAGAAAAAUAAACAGGGAAUAUCUGCUUUUCCUGGUAUUUCCCACUGACUUCAGUUAAGUUAUCUGACCUUGUCUGUGGCCAAUACAACCACAAUGUAAGAAUAUUUAAUAACAGAUUAAUUGCAAAAUAUUUGAUUCUAAUAUGUACAGCAUUUCAUUUAUUAUAUGCGAUAUAUAAAGUGGAAAUUUCUCAUUAAUUAGCAUAAAGAUAGGUGUUCUGAAAACAAAUAGGAAAAUUCCCAUACUGGUAAUGUUAAAAUUAUUGGCUGUAACAAUCUAUGUUGAAAAGAUUGAAUGAAAAAUGCAGCAGUAUGAGAGACAUCCUGUUCUAAAAUGGCCUCGCUCAAGUUCAGAUUACAGGCCACUGAUAUAUAGAGAAGGAUUCUGUACAAUCAAAUCACAAGAGAGAUUGCUAGCUGUGGCCUGCUGGAAAUGUGCAAACACACUAGAGAAUAAGACAAUUAGCUGUGCAACUGUUGAGCUACAAUAUAUAGCAAGAACAAAAAUUUUUAUGGGUUGGUAUCAGUUCAAAAGAGAUGUGAAAAAUCAGGUUGCUGUUUUUAAGGCACCCUUUGAAUUUUCUAUAUAAACAAAAAUUGUAUCUAAUGGAGCAGAACUCUAUAUAAGACCUUAAAAAAUAAAGAGUUAAUCACAGAACUGAAAAAAAUAGUUGAAACUGAUUUUAUCUGAUUACAUUUUUAUUGUGAGUUAUGCCAAGAAUACAUGUUCUCGGGGGUUGAAAAGGACAAUUUAAUAAAGCUGAAAAUAAUUUUGAGACAAUCAACUGAAGAAAAUGUAAACAGAAAGAUGAGAAAGAUAAUUGUCCAUUGUUGAAUAACAUUUUACUAGAUUCCGAAAUUGCAUUUUCAGAAUGAUGUUGUUGCAGUGAUUUAAAGAAAGAACAGUACGGGUCAAAGUAAAAUGAAAAGCAUCUCUAAAUCAUAGUGAAACACAGAAAAAGAAAGCUAGAACAGUCAUAAUAACAAUUGUCUUGGAUUUUAGAAAGUAGAUAGUGGAAGCAAAAUGUUAAAGACAAAAAUCUAUGGUUAGCAGAUCUAAAAAGGAAAAGGUAGAGAAAGGAGUUCCCGGCUCUACUGGGAAUCCUGAUAAUAUUGUUGUUCUGUGGCUGUAUGAUGAUAGCAGAAUUCAUGAAAAGCAGAAUCUCAGUCACUUGGUGUCUGCAUUUGGGGAAAGCCAGAUGGUAGUUAUAUGACAUGAUGAUGCAGUCCUUUUAAUUUUAACCAGUUACACAGCAGUUUGUUUAAUUUAGACAUUUAAAGUUUGUAUGUGUACUUAACUUGCAUCUGAUAGUUUUAAAAGAACUAGCAAAAGACCCCCAUGGGCAUUUUAUUUUGGUGAUUACAGUAUUGAAACAUGGGAAUUUUCAAGUUGGGAAAAAUCUAAUGUGUGCCAAUAUUUAAAGAUGAUAACAGAACUAACUCAGGAAAUUAGAGGCCUAUCAAGUUGAGAUUGCUCAAACACAAUUAAUGUCCAUCAACAUUAGCUUCACAAAAAUAAUUUUUGUCAGACUAAUUUGAUCCCAUCCUUUGAUGAGAUUACAAGUUCUUUUCAAUCAAGAUAAUAUUGUUGAUGUAAUAAACUUUUUGAAAGGACAUGCAUUCACAGCAGAAGACAUUUUGUUAAGAAAAUAAAGCAAUAGAAAACCCACCUAACAUCUAUGAAUUUAAUUAAAAAUAAAUAGGUCCUAUAACCGUAAAUGAAGAACCAUCAUAGUGAGAAUUUGUGAGAUUCAUCCCCCCACACAUUAUCUUUCUUAAUGAGACAAGAAAACAUGACAUUUUGUUGAUGAAGUUUUCCUAUACCACUAAAACUGGUAGAGGAUUAAAUGAUAAAUAAGGCUGGUGAAUGACAGAGAGCAAUCUGAAUUUCUUUACAAAAUGGAACAAGUUAUUUUUUUGGAAGUCUGUGCAGAGAGAACAGUGUGAGCUACACUUGUUGGAUGGAAAAGACUCCAUGCUGGGAAAUAGGGACUGAAAAGGAUUUGAUUUUAUGAUGGAUAAUCAGAUACACGUGGGCUCCAGCGGUGCGCCACGGCCAAAGUGCUAAAAUGAUCAUUGGCAUAUAAUGAGGAGAAUAUGAAUAAAAGCAGGGAGCUUGCAUUAUUCAGGCAAAGAUUUACUGUGAGGGAAAAGGGAAAGUGCUACACAGACAGUAGCUCCUUGGCAAGGUCUGGCCUGGUGCUUCGUGCCUUUGAUAGAGGAGAAAGUGGGGCACUGCACAACUCCUCCCUUGUGCCUGUGCUGGGGUUCAGCAGCCAGCCACCAUGCUUCAUCCCUGCUGACCUUACCCUGUAGGAAAACAUUUUGGUCUUCUUCCUUGUGUUUUUUUUUUUUUUUUUUUUUUUUUUUUUUUUUUUUUUGUUUUUUUUGUUUUUUUUUUUGUUUGUUUGUUUGUUUGGUUGGUUGGUUGGUUUUUUAACAUUCUUAUUUAUUUGGUUUUCUUUAAAAAGAAGGGUUUGAUAGGAACUCUGGAUGAGCUUAAAGGACUGCAAAAAUAUGCUGAAAAUGAGGGACUAAAUUUCAAACUCUUGAUCUACUAAAGAAUGGAAAAAUGGUACAAAGGCAUUCUUAAUUUCUCUGGAAAAGAUUAGCAAAAUCCAUUGCCUGGAAUUAGAGAAAUUUAAGCUUAAAGUAACUUACCACAGAGAAGCGAAUUGACCACAGGAAGAACUUACUGAGGCCUGCAGUGGACUUUCUCUGAACAGAAAAUUCGAAACCAUGAUCAGUUUUCAGUCUAGCUUAGCUGCAUUAUCAGUCUUGAUACAGAAAUUCACUUAGAGGAGUCCUGUAGAUGUGUAAUGAAAGAAGUCACAUUAAAUAAUCAAUAGAUCCCUUCUAAUAUUAAUAUAUUUUAGUCAAAAAUACAAAAUGCUCAUGUUGUUCUGUUGAGAUGAUCUGCAACAAGGUCUUAGUGAUGUUCUUUAAAAAUGUGCUUCGCAAAAAAUUUUAAUUUGUAAGCCAAAUAUCAGGCAUAUAAGCUGUGAAAUGUUCAAAUUCUUUGCUAUGGAAUAAAAGAUUGAUUUUUCUGGUUGAUGUAAAAAACAGAAAUUCACCUAGAUUACAAAAUCUAGUCUUUCAUCUCCAAUUAAGCAUGUUCAGAAUUGCUUAUUUCUGUCUGUGUAGGAAAGGGAAAGCAUAAUGCACUGCAGCUGUAGAGAUUAACUCUGGAAGUCAGGAGGCUCUGUCCUCCUGUGGGAAUACAACUGACAGCCCAGCCUGCCUGUGGGCCACCCUUGUCCCCUUGCAUGGGGUCAUGCAGGAGAUGUGCUGGAGCUGGGCUGGGGGACAAGGAAAGGAGGUGAUGGAGGGGCUGGAGUAAGGGCAUAGAUAGAGACUCCUGCCACUACUAUGAUAGAAAAUAUUCUUCUUUAUGCUUUCAGAUGGGUUUAUUUGCUCAACAUUUUUUGUUUGUUUGUUCGUUUUGUUCAGUUCUAGUUAAAAGUACGUAUUAAGCCAUUUGUUUCUCCUUUCUCAUUGCACCUGCUGGCACCUGUUUCACCUUGUUAUACCUGCUGGCAUAAUGUCACUUGCCACUGAGUCAUAGCUCUUAGAGCUAAUUCAGCCAUCCAUUCCUCUGCUACCCUGCCCUUUCUGCUUGGAGUGAUUCAGAGCCUGGUCUUCACAUGCAGCCUUUACCAAGAAGUUAACAUAAAAAGGAAGAAAAAACCUCGCACCAAUAAACCCUACUGCUUGCAUGGUUGGUCAUUUGGCCCAUGUUACAGGCAUGCUAUCUGCACUAUCAGUGAAAUGAAAAAAACAGUGCCUUUUUGUAUGUCAUUUGCUGCCAAAAAAAUUCCAAGAUGAUCUGUACAGUUUGUGAACACCACCUCUGCUAAAAGAAAGAAAAGCUGAACUGAUGGGAGAACAGCAUGGAGUGGAUUUCGGGGCUGGGGAGAGGUUCCAUGGUCCUUGGGAGAGAGCACUGCUUCAGGUUGCCCCUAGAAAGACCAAACAUCCCAAAAGACAAGCAUUCUGUAGAGGUAAACAGAGAAGGGCAGGCUUCCUAUGGCUUCUUCAGCCAUUUGAUAUCCUUCACAGCAACCUGAAGAGCCAGGUCCCUUCAGAGGUUGCCUCUGAAAACGUACCAUAUCUUUGCUUAAUUCUCUAGGUUUUAAUUUUUUUCCCUUUUUUUCUUUUUAAAUGUUAGUACCCACCAGUUCUCUGAAAUAUGUGUAGAGUUCUUUUGGGUUACACUCUGCCUCAGAUAAAUGUCUUUAAAGGUGCAGCCUCAGCAUUACUUUGCUUAUAUGUAUACUUGAGUGUGUGUAUGUACUAUCUACAUCUGGAAUGAGGGGCUGUAUUAAAAAUAAAAUAAUUAUAAAAAUAAAAUGAAAUGGCCUCACAUGGAAAGCAUUUGGAAAGGAAAAUACCGGAGUAAAAAUGGAAAAAUAAGUACGUGUCAGGCCAGCUGCAGGUUAGGAGCAGCUCUGUGGGAAGCCAAUGGGAUUUGCUGGUGCCCUUCAUGGGAAGGCAGAGACGAAGCAAGUACAGCUGCCCUGCAGCACUCCAGUGACCAGGGCUUUAGUCAUGUUGCAGGAGGACUUUCAGCUGUAACCUUGCUGGCCUCAGGAGUAUUUCUCAGAAGCUAAAGAGGUCAGCUUCAGCAAGACUGUGCCCAUAGAUAGUAAUGACUAAAAGGGAGAUCCCUGUGGCAAGCAGCAGGAAGCUUUUGAAGGUGCUUGUGCCAGCAGAUAUCUGAGGCAUGGGGCAUAAGAAAGGGAAGUUCCCCUAACAGCCAAAUACAUAUGUUAAAGCCUUCUCAAUUUAUUUGUGCACAAAGGGUAAAGAGACCCUAGGCUGCAAACAAAGACAUCAUACACCGAGUUAUUUGUCAGCCUCUAAAUUAAGAAAGGAUUUUAAUACCUUCCUUUAAGGGAUUUACUCACGUGAUUGAAGUUAGGCAUGAUUUUAGGAGCCCCAGAAAAUCAGUCACCUGAUAAACUCUCUGCUUCAGGUUAAAAUAUAUUACAUUUAAAAAGCAUGUUCCUUAAAAAACAACACAAAGAAGAGAUAUUAUAGCAACAAAAAUUUUUCUUAAAAAUUAUUAAAUUAUUUGGUCCUUUAAUAAUUGAAAAGGCUUCAUUACCAUGCAAACAAAUAACAGGUUGGCUAUUCACCUUUUGGAAGAUGGCAUUUGCAUUCCUAUAAUAGGAGAGAAGAACCUUAGAAAACUAAUGAAGGAGCAUAAAAAUGCAAAUUACUGCAGCUAAUUGGCUGUGCCUUCUUAUACCUUCUGAAUUAUUAAUUUAUGACCGAAUAAAUCUGCCCCUUUUAAAUAAAAUAAUAAAGAACAACAUUGUGCUUUA